rnacentral:rRNA from 1 species
GGCUCAGGAUGAACGCUGGCGGCGUGCCUAAUACAUGCAAGUCGAACGCACAGCGAAAGGUGCUUGCACCUUUCAAGUGAGUGGCGAACGGGUGAGUAACACGUGGAUAACCUACCUCAAGGUUGGGGAUAACAUUUGGAAACAGAUGCUAAUACCGAAUAAAACUUCGUAUCGCAUGAUACAGGUUAAAAGGCGCUACGGCGUCACCUAGAGAUGGAUCCGCGGUGCAUUAGUUAGUUGGUGGGGUAAAGGCCUACCAAGACAAUGAUGCAUAGCCGAGUUGAGAGACUGAUCGGCCACAUUGGGACUGAGACACGGCCCAAACUCCUACGGGAGGCUGCAGUAGGGAAUCUUCCACAAUGGGCGAAAGCCUGAUGGAGCAACGCCGCGUGUGUGAUGAAGGCUUUCGGGUCGUAAAGCACUGUUGUAUGGGAAGAACAGCUAGAGUAGGGAAUGACUUUAGUUUGACGGUACCAUACCAGAAAGGGACGGCUAAAUACGUG